rnacentral:rRNA from 1 species
CCUACGGGAGGCAGCAGUGGGGAAUUUUGGACAAUGGGCGCAAGCCUGAUCCAGCCAUGCCGCGUGUGGGAAGAAGGCCUUCGGGUUGUAAACCACUUUUGUCAGGGAAGAAACGGCUCUUACUAAUAUUAGGGGCUAAUGACGGUACCUGAAGAAUAAGCACCGGCUAACUACGUGCCAGCAGCCGCGGUAAUACGUAGGGUGCAAGCGUUAAUCGGAAUUACUGGGCGUAAAGCGUGCGCAGGCGGCUUUGCAAGACAGAUGUGAAAUCCCCGGGCUCAGCCUGGGAACUGCAUUUGUGACUGCAUGGCUAGAGUACGGUAGAGGGGGAUGGAAUUCCGCGUGUAGCAGUGAAAUGCGUAGAUAUGCGGAGGAACACCGAUGGCGAAGGCAAUCCCCUGGACCUGUACUGACGCUCAUGCACGAAAGCGUGGGGAGCAAACAGGAUUAGAUACCCUGGUAGUCCACGCCCUAAACGACCUGUCAACUGGUUGUUGGACGGCUUGCUGUUCAGUAACGAAGCUAACGCGUGAAGUUGACCGCCUGGGGAGUACGGCCGCAAGGUUGAAACGUCAAAAUGAAAGUUGACGG